rnacentral:rRNA from 1 species
AUUGAACGCUGGCGGCAUGCUUUACACAUGCAAGUCGAACGGUAACAGGUUAAGCUGACGAGUGGCGAACGGGUGAGUAAUGCAUCGGAACGUGCCCGAUCGUGGGGGAUAACGCAGCGAAAGCUGCGCUAAUACCGCAUACGAUCUGAGGAUGAAAGCGGGGGACCGUAGGGCCUCGCGCGAUCGGAGCGGCCGAUGUCAGAUUAGGUAGUUGGUGGGGUAAAAGGCUCACCAAGCCGACGAUCUGUAGCUGGUCUGAGAGGACGACCAGCCACACUGGGACUGAGACACGGCCCAGACUCCUACGGGAGGCAGCAGUGGGGAAUUUUGGACAAUGGGCGCAAGCCUGAUCCAGCAAUGCCGCGUGCAGGAAGAAGGCCUUCGGGUUGUAAACUGCUUUGUACGGAGCGAAAGGACCGUCUCUAAUACA